rnacentral:rRNA from 1 species
UACGGAGGGGGCUAGCGUUAUUCGGAAUUAUUGGGCGUAAAGGGCGCGUAGGCGGCCCGGUAAGUCAAAGGUGAAAUCCCUCGGCUCAACUGAGGAACUGCCCUUUGAAACUGUCGGGCUUGAGGCCGGGAGGGGGUAGCGGAAUUCCCAGUGUAGCGGUGAAAUGCGUAGAUAUUGGGAGGAACACCGGUGGCGAAGGCGGCAUCCUGGGACCGGCAUUGACGCUGAGGCGCGGAAAAGCUAGGGGAGCAAACGGGG